UCCACAAACUGACAUAAUAGUCUGAAGCAGAUCAUGCAUUGUUUUCUUCAUAUUCAGCUUUCUGAAACACAGAAUGACAAAGUGUUAUGGAAAAAUUAUCUUCAAGAGCAAUAGAAAUGAGAAAGCCGAAUCCCAAAGCAGGGAAACCACUCGGAUUGGAUAAAAGUAAAAUGACAGACACUUGCAUCUUUUACAUAGCUCCUAGGCUAAACCUGUACAACAGGUUAUUGUACUGCAUACUGUAGGUAACAGAAUUACGCACAGAAGCCAUCUGGAGGAGACUGAGAACAUUUUUGGGAAAGAACUUAAUACAGCCAGG